rnacentral:tRNA from 1 species
GCCUUCGUGGUGUAACGGUAGCACCCUCAGACCGUAUUCAAGAGGUUCAGGUUCGAAUCCUGGCGAGGGCA